UUAAGCGACUAAGCGUACACGGUGGAUGCCCUGGCAGUCAGAGGCGAUGAAGGACGUGCUAAUCUGCGAUAAGCGUCGGUAAGGUGAUAUGAACCGUUAUAACCGGCGAUUUCCGAAUGGGGAAACCCAGUGUGUUUCGACACACUAUCAUUAACUGAAUCCAUAGGUUAAUGAGGCGAACCGGGGGAACUGAAACAUCUAAGUACCCCGAGGAAAAGAAAUCAACCGAGAUUCCCCCAGUAGCGGCGAGCGAACGGGGAGCAGCCCAGAGCCUGAAUCAGUGUGUGUGUUAGUGGAAGCGUCUGGAAAGGCGCGCGAUACAGGGUGACAGCCCCGUACACAAAAAUGCACAUGCUGUGAGCUCGAUGAGUAGGGCGGGACACGUGGUAUCCUGUCUGAAUAUGGGGGGACCAUCCUCCAAGGCUAAAUACUCCUGACUGACCGAUAGUGAACCAGUACCGUGAGGGAAAGGCGAAAAGAACCCCGGCGAGGGGAGUGAAAAAGAACCUGAAACCGUGUACGUACAAGCAGUGGGAGCACGCUUAGGCGUGUGACUGCGUACCUUUUGUAUAAUGGGUCAGCGACUUAUAUUCUGUAGCAAGGUUAACCGAAUAGGGGAGCCGAAGGGAAACCGAGUCUUAACUGGGCGUUAAGUUGCAGGGUAUAGACCCGAAACCCGGUGAUCUAGCCAUGGGCAGGUUGAAGGUUGGGUAACACUAACUGGAGGACCGAACCGACUAAUGUUGAAAAAUUAGCGGAUGACUUGUGGCUGGGGGUGAAAGGCCAAUCAAACCGGGAGAUAGCUGGUUCUCCCCGAAAGCUAUUUAGGUAGCGCCUCGUGAAUUCAUCUCCGGGGGUAGAGCACUGUUUCGGCAAGGGGGUCAUCCCGACUUACCAACCCGAUGCAAACUGCGAAUACCGGAGAAUGUUAUCACGGGAGACACACGGCGGGUGCUAACGUCCGUCGUGAAGAGGGAAACAACCCAGACCGCCAGCUAAGGUCCCAAAGUCAUGGUUAAGUGGGAAACGAUGUGGGAAGGCCCAGACAGCCAGGAUGUUGGCUUAGAAGCAGCCAUCAUUUAAAGAAAGCGUAAUAGCUCACUGGUCGAGUCGGCCUGCGCGGAAGAUGUAACGGGGCUAAACCAUGCACCGAAGCUGCGGCAGCGACGCUUAUGCGUUGUUGGGUAGGGGAGCGUUCUGUAAGCCUGCGAAGGUGUGCUGUGAGGCAUGCUGGAGGUAUCAGAAGUGCGAAUGCUGACAUAAGUAACGAUAAAGCGGGUGAAAAGCCCGCUCGCCGGAAGACCAAGGGUUCCUGUCCAACGUUAAUCGGGGCAGGGUGAGUCGACCCCUAAGGCGAGGCCGAAAGGCGUAGUCGAUGGGAAACAGGUUAAUAUUCCUGUACUUGGUGUUACUGCGAAGGGGGGACGGAGAAGGCUAUGUUGGCCGGGCGACGGUUGUCCCGGUUUAAGCGUGUAGGCUGGUUUUCCAGGCAAAUCCGGAAAAUCAAGGCUGAGGCGUGAUGACGAGGCACUACGGUGCUGAAGCAACAAAUGCCCUGCUUCCAGGAAAAGCCUCUAAGCAUCAGGUAACAUCAAAUCGUACCCCAAACCGACACAGGUGGUCAGGUAGAGAAUACCAAGGCGCUUGAGAGAACUCGGGUGAAGGAACUAGGCAAAAUGGUGCCGUAACUUCGGGAGAAGGCACGCUGAUAUGUAGGUGAGGUCCCUCGCGGAUGGAGCUGAAAUCAGUCGAAGAUACCAGCUGGCUGCAACUGUUUAUUAAAAACACAGCACUGUGCAAACACGAAAGUGGACGUAUACGGUGUGACGCCUGCCCGGUGCCGGAAGGUUAAUUGAUGGGGUUAGCGCAAGCGAAGCUCUUGAUCGAAGCCCCGGUAAACGGCGGCCGUAACUAUAACGGUCCUAAGGUAGCGAAAUUCCUUGUCGGGUAAGUUCCGACCUGCACGAAUGGCGUAAUGAUGGCCAGGCUGUCUCCACCCGAGACUCAGUGAAAUUGAACUCGCUGUGAAGAUGCAGUGUACCCGCGGCAAGACGGAAAGACCCCGUGAACCUUUACUAUAGCUUGACACUGAACAUUGAGCCUUGAUGUGUAGGAUAGGUGGGAGGCUUUGAAGUGUGGACGCCAGUCUGCAUGGAGCCGACCUUGAAAUACCACCCUUUAAUGUUUGAUGUUCUAACGUUGACCCCUAAUCGGGGUUGCGGACAGUGUCUGGUGGGUAGUUUGACUGGGGCGGUCUCCUCCUAAAGAGUAACGGAGGAGCACGAAGGUUGGCUAAUCCUGGUCGGACAUCAGGAGGUUAGUGCAAUGGCAUAAGCCAGCUUGACUGCGAGCGUGACGGCGCGAGCAGGUGCGAAAGCAGGUCAUAGUGAUCCGGUGGUUCUGAAUGGAAGGGCCAUCGCUCAACGGAUAAAAGGUACUCCGGGGAUAACAGGCUGAUACCGCCCAAGAGUUCAUAUCGACGGCGGUGUUUGGCACCUCGAUGUCGGCUCAUCACAUCCUGGGGCUGAAGUAGGUCCCAAGGGUAUGGCUGUUCGCCAUUUAAAGUGGUACGCGAGCUGGGUUUAGAACGUCGUGAGACAGUUCGGUCCCUAUCUGCCGUGGGCGCUGGAGAACUGAGGGGGGCUGCUCCUAGUACGAGAGGACCGGAGUGGACGCAUCACUGGUGUUCGGGUUGUCAUGCCAAUGGCACUGCCCGGUAGCUAAAUGCGGAAGAGAUAAGUGCUGAAAGCAUCUAAGCACGAAACUUGCCCCGAGAUGAGUUCUCCCUGACCCUUUAAGGGUCCUGAAGGAACGUUGAAGACGACGACGUUGAUAGGCCGGGUGUGUAAGCGCAGCGAUGCGUUGAGCUAACCGGUACUAAUGAACCGUGAGGCUUAACCUU
rnacentral:rRNA from 1 species